rnacentral:sRNA from 1 species
UGCGAAGCCAAUGCUUAUCCGGCUGUUGACGAGAUGAAUAAUUCAUUGCAAACUCCUUUUAUACUCACUAAUGUUUAUAUCAAUUUUACAUGACUUUUUAAAAAUUAGCUAGAAUAUCACAGUGAUAUCAGCUAUAGAUUUCAA